rnacentral:tRNA from 1 species
AAAAUAGUAAGCUAAAUAAAGCUUUUGGGUUCAUACCUCAACUAUAAAGGUAUAAAACCUUUCUAUUUUA